rfam:Arthrobacter sp. Edens01 contig_28, whole genome shotgun sequence.
AAUCAAGAGUUCCAGCCACAGGCCCUGGCCGGCUGGGCGGCAACCCUCUCGCCGUAGCGGGGUGCUCCAGGUGACGAUUCGGCCGUUCCGGUGGAUCUCCCGGUCCGGCAAGUACAGCGC